CAGCAGCCGCGGGAAUACGGAGGGUGCAAGCGUUAUCCGGAAUCAUUGGGUUUAAAGGGUCCGUAGGCGGUCUUGUAAGUCAGUGGUGAAAGCCCAUCGCUCAACGGUGGAACGGCCAUUGAUACUGCAGGACUUGAAUUAUUGGGAAGUAACUAGAAUAUGUAGUGUAGCGGUGAAAUGCUUAGAGAUUACAUGGAAUACCAAUUGCGAAGGCAGGUUACUACCAAUUGAUUGACGCUGAUGGACGAAAGCGUGGGUAGCGAACAGGAUUAGAUACCCCCGUAGUCCCUGUCUCUUAUAC
rnacentral:rRNA from 1 species